AGCUGACUGUUAACGUAUUAGGGACUUAUUAUUUAUGUUUCAGUUACAUUCAGGCAACUGACAUAUUAAAUCCUGUUUCAGGCCUGACAGUGAGGGUGCAUCCUGCAGAGGUGACAGAGGGCCAAAAUGUCGCUCUGAGCUGCAUUACCAGCUGUCCUCUGCCUCACAACACAACCUACAUCUGGUACCUGAACAGUCGACCUUUGACCGAGCCAAGAAAGCACAACAAGACACUGAUACUACAUUCAGUCAGCAGUCAGCAUGCAGGAAGCUACUCCUGUGCUGUUGAAGGUCGCAUUACAUCUGAUGAAAAAACUCUCACUGUCCAAAAUGUUAAAGAGAAACAAACACCAGCAGCAGCAGCAGCAGCAGCAGCACCAGCAGCAGCAGCAGCAGGAGUCUGUAUUGUUCUCCUGGUCAUCAUAUUUCUUAUUUUAUUCCUUUGGAUUAGAAAGAAGAGGACUUCAGGUCAGUCUCCUGAAACUGAAGCAAUGGACAACACAGACCAGCUAAACCGUGGUCAUGUGUAUGAAGACAUUUCCACUCAACCAGCAGAGCAGGAGGAGCUUCACUACAGCAGAGUCCACUUCUCUAAGACCCAGCCAGAAACUCUCUACUGCACUGUCCAACCACAUCAGCCCGAAC